GACGAACGCUGGCGGCAUGCCUAAUACAUGCAAGUCGAACGCUGAAGCACCCUGCUUGCAGAGUGCGGAUGAGUGGCGAACGGGUGAGUAACACGUGGGGAAUCUGCCUAUAAGUGGGGGAUAACAUUCGGAAACGGAUGCUAAUACCGCAUAUAUUCUUGGACCGCCUGGUCCUUGAAAGAAAGACGGCUUUGCUGUCGCUUAUAGAUGAUCCCGCGGCGUAUUAGUUAGUUGGUGGGGUAAAGGCCUACCAAGACAAUGAUACGUAGCCGAACUGAGAGGGUGAUCGGCCACACUGGGACUGAGACACGGCCCAGACUCCUACGGGAGGCAGCAGUAGGGAAUCUUCCACAAAGGGCGAAAGCCUGAUGGAGCAAUGCCGCGUGAAUGAAGAAGGUCUUCGGAUCGUAAAGUUCUGUUAUUAGAGAAGAACAAGUCAAGGAAUAACUGUCUUGACUUUGACGGUACCUAACCAGAAAGUCACGGCUAACUACGUG
rnacentral:rRNA from 1 species